rnacentral:lncRNA from 1 species
AUACAGUUACUUUAUUGUAAAUACAGUGUAGCUACUCAACAAACAACAACACACAUAAACACAUUAAAAGGUUCGUAUGGCUAGAAAGCUAAUCUCUUAAAGAUUCCAUAGAAUAAUAUAAAACAUUUGAAAUGAAAGAAAACUCCAAAAGGAAAAAAGACGUGGAAUAAGAUAUCAUAGGUUUUAUGUCCAAAAUAUUGAGAUUCAAAACCCUUCUGCCACCUGAAGGAUGCUGAAAUGAAGGAAUUUUUUGCCCAAUACCCAAGAUGCAUCACAGCAAGGGUUAAACAUAUAUUGUGUAAACGCAGAAAGGCGUGUGACCCCGCUCGUGUAUACGACCUACAAUAGGACAUCUGUAAUAUAAAUAUAGUAUGCAGGUAUGAUGCAAUAAUAAUGCUUAUUUCGUGAUAGAUAGCAAAACCUCUAAAACUGAGAGAAACAUCAUCAUCUCGGAAAAUGUUUGCAAAAAGAGAUAAAGUAAUGAAAAAUGUAAAUCCAGACAAAGACAAUAUAAGUAAACAAUGGCUAACAGUUCUAAAAUUAUUUGAUGUAAUAGGACAGCAAUCUCUAUAAAGUAAAAAGAAACAUCUUAGAAUAAGUCCUAUCAUAACCGAAGUAGAGACACAGAAACUUACCAACAGUGGAAAAGUGUAUGUUCCUUUCGAAACAAAAAUAUCUAGAAUAUCUAGCAAUGCUGGUGGGAAAACUACUAUUAUUCCAACGAAAAUAUUGCAAUGCAUUUUCAUUCGUGUCAAUAUGCUGACGAGUACGCCUUUUACCUUAAUACAACAUUGGGUUUCCUCGCUUUUGUUUUGAAUGAGCGGAGAAGUCUCAGUAAUUUGAUCACAAACAUUGAUAUUGCAAAUCUCUAAUCUGUCUUCAGGUUCUUCGAUUGGCCUUCUAGUAUUUUGUUCGUCAAACUGCUGCUUUUGCAAGUUCAAUGGCCACAUUUCAAACACGAAUAUACUGGCAAGCAGUGCAUACUCCAUUAUCAUCGGAUCAACAAUUACUCUGGAUCUCCAAUACACUUUAGAGAUUAGUGUUGUAUUAUAAUUACAGUCACUUACAUUUGACACAGAGUAGUAGUCCUUUGUGAUGUAAUAUCCGGAUACAGUAUAAUAAGUCCAGACAGCAACGUUGGUUACCAAGAUGAAGCUCACGGUGUAGAAUAUAACAAUACUAUUUUUAAGUACAUACUUGUACAUUAUCCGUAUAAAAGCCGUUUGUGUUAGAAAAAAUAAAAUCAAUGUUAUGUGUACUGCUAAAAUAUUAUCAAGAUGGGCGUGUGGUGGAGAACACUCUCUUCUGUAAAUAUACGCUAUUAUUUGGUAUGCUAUUCCACCAGCUCCGAAAAGGUAAAGAAAUUUUAGUUUUAACCAGGUGGUGUUGUCCCGUCUAUACAAGGUGUCGCUUCCAUUUCUUGUUAUUCUUUUUGCAUUUAUAUAAAUGAUCACCAUGCUAGCUGAAAAUGCCAAAGCACACAAGACUAUGAGGUAUGCAUUACCAGGUGGUGUCAUCGAAGCCGUGACAUUUCGCCCCCGAUAUGAUGAUACGAACACGGCACAACAUGAAAAUGAUAUAAAAGCAACCAGAAAAAUAAGACCGGAAAUACUACCAUCAUUCCUAUGGAACCUGUUAGUUGAUGGAACACCGGAUGAAAACAGCAAUAAGAUUCCUUUUAAAUCGGACAUUGUUAGCAAAAACAGUUUGAUUUUUUUAG